ensembl:lncRNA
CCUGCAGUCAGAAUUGAUGAGGCUACAAGAGCACUCAGAGCAAGCACUCUUCAGGUUAAAUAAAUACCACAUCAGUUCUCAUAUUCCACAGAGGACAGAUGUGACAAACCAUCAGUCUCUGCACCAUGAGAUUCAGGAAGCUCAACCGUCCCAGAAUGUGGCUAUGGAGUUGAUUAGUGGUUCACUGAGCCAGAUCUUACCCAGCGUCCCUCAGAGAGGAGACUUUGAAAGCCUCCAGAAGAUCAAACCUGUAGAGAUUUCCCAUAUACUCCACACACAGCUCUCAGAGACUGACAAAGUUAGUAACAGUGCAAGUGAGAAAUUACAGAGACUCUAUCUGCAGAAGCAACAACAACAUGGCAGUUCAAGGCAUCAGCUGGUCACACUUCUGAAAGAGCUGGAGCUUCUUGAAACACCGUUGGCAGCGCAAGGACAGCACAAGGCCAAGCAUCAGAGACAGGAAGCCCACAUAGCGGCCGCCAUGACCUGGUGGACUGGUCAGAUUAAAGAGGGCAAGAAGAACCAGGCUGCCCAAGUUCCACAAGAAACUGUGAUGGACAUUCAGAAGCCGAUCCAAAGCCUGGAAGUCAAUCACAUCAGGCUGGAAGGAACUAAGCAUGGCAUGAAGGUGCUUCUCAAAGACCAGGGAACGAGCACCUGCAAUGACGCUCAGAUUCACUUUAGGGACGUGGCUGUAGUCACUGAUUCAUCAGCAGAGCAUUUGGGUGCAGAAGAGCUGCUGAAAUCUCUGAGGAAAGUGGAGGACAUGGUUUCGCAGGCCUUGCGGGCAGCUCAGGUGCUCAUGAGCAGCGAAGAGAGGAUAAAGGAGAGGAUAGAGGCCAUCAGCAUGAUGGUCGAGAAAGCACUGAGCAGAGCUGAUGCUACUGAGAGUCAACUCAGUGCCCUGGAGGCCACCAUCUCUGCUAACACACAGUCGUUCUGUAUGUCUCAAUCCGUAGCCACUGGGCUCCUGGUGGAUUGUAGCUUUUCCACAUCCGAGUCUGUUGCUCAGGAGAGCGUCCUCACUCCACUUUCUUCUGAAAACGGUAUUAUUUACCUCUUAAGUUACUAAAACAUUUCAGAUGAAUCUGAAGCAGUUCAUUUGUAUGAUGGCAACUUUUAGUAACGUUUUAUGUAACAUUCCUUGAAUUCUUAUGU